GACGAACGCUGGCGGCAUGCUUUACGCAUGCAAGUCGAACGGUAACAGGCCGCAAGGUGCUGACGAGUGGCGAACGGGUGAGUAAUGCAUCGGAACGUGCCCAGUCGUGGGGGAUAACGCAGCGAAAGCUGUGCUAAUACCGCAUACGAUCUAUGGAUGAAAGCGGGGGACCGUAAGGCCUCGCGCGAUUGGAGCGGCCGAUGUCAGAUUAGGUAGUUGGUGGGGUAAAGGCCCACCAAGCCAACGAUCUGUAGCUGGUCUGAGAGGACGACCAGCCACACUGGGACUGAGACACGGCCCAGACUCCUACGGGAGGCAGCAGUGGGGAAUUUUGGACAAUGGGCGCAAGCCUGAUCCAGCAAUGCCGCGUGCAGGAAGAAGGCCUUCGGGUUGUAAACUGCUUUUGUACGGAACGAAAAGGUCUGGGUUAAUACCCUGGGCCGAUGACGGUACCGUAAGAAUAAGCACCGGCUAACUACGUGCCAGCAGCCGCAGUAA
rnacentral:rRNA from 1 species